GAUCUGAAAUCAGGUAGGAUUACCCGCUGAACUUAAGCAUAUCAAUAAGCGGAGGAAAAGAAACUAACAAGGAUUCCCUUAGUAACGGCGAGUGAAGCGGGAAAAGCUCAAAUUUAAAAUCUUGGUAGAUUAUCUGCCACGAGCUGUAGUUUCAAGAAGCGUUUUCUGUGCGCGCCUGGGUAUAAGUCCUUUGGAACAGGGCAUCAUAGAGGGUGAGAAUCCCGUUUAUGAUCCGGAGCGGCGGACUGUGUGAUACGCUUUCUAAGAGUCAGGUUGUUUGGGAAUGCAGCCUAAAAUGGGUGGUAAAUUUCAUCUAAAGCUAAAUAUCAGCGAGAGACCGAUAGCGAACAAGUACCGUGAGGGAAAGAUGAAAAGAACUUUGAAAAGAGAGUUAAACAGUACGUGAAAUUGUUGAAAGGGAAACGU
rnacentral:rRNA from 1 species